UACGAACUGUGCGAACGUUAUUCGGAAUUACUGGGCGUAAAGCGUGCGCAGGCGGUGAUGUAAGACAGGUGUGAAAUCCCCGGGCUUAACCUGGGAACUGCAUUUGUGACUGCAUCGCUGGAGUGCGGCAGAGGGGGAUGGAAUUCCGCGUGUAGCAGUGAAAUGCGUAGAUAUGCGGAGGAACACCGAUGGCGAAGGCAAUCCCCUGGGCCUGCACUGACGCUCAUGCACGAAAGCGUGGGGAGCAAACAGG
rnacentral:rRNA from 1 species